AGUAGGAAAGGAAGAGAGGAAGUAAGGACUCCUGGAGACAGUUUAGGCUACAUGCUAGCCUUGUUCUUAUAAUGCAGAACUAGAGGUAGGGAAUUUUGCUCAGAAGGCUAAAAGCAAUAUACAAUGAAGAGAAAAUCCUAAAAGAUAAGAUGCGGGUCACUGUCUCCACUUCGGGCACCUGAAAGGAGAGAGUUGUAGGUUCUCUGACGAGCACUCAACUUCAAUGGAAGCAGAACAGCAGAUCAUCCCAAAACAGUUUUUAGCAGAGAUUUGAUAAACAGCAGUGUCCUCUGGGGUACAGCUAGGAUGAAGAGAAGAUACAGGCCAUAAUCCCUCUGCUGGACAAACCGGCUACCCUGAAGAUACGAUGACUUCUGUGGAAAGAAGAGAAAGAAAGAAAAGAAAACAAGCCCGAGAGGCACAAAGGACCAGGAUGUACAAUGUCAAGAGUGAGCCUUGGUGUCAACCGUGGACUUGGGGUGAUAAAGACGCAUCAGUGGAGACUCAUCAGCGACAACCGUCCCACUCUGGUGGGGGAUAUGGACAGAGGGAGAGUCUGCAUUGGGGGCAGGAGUGGAUACAUAGAAAUUGUGCUUUCUGCUCCAUUUUGCUCUGAACCUAACACUGCCCUCAAAAACAGUCUAGUGAAUUCCAGUGCCUGGAAGCCACCAAGAAAAUCAGUGAACCAGCAACGCAGGGUGAAGGGCUUCACCACUGGUGUUUUUUAAGCCUCCUGGGUAAUGGUAACGGGCAGUCAGAGUUCAGAAAGCAUUAGCUCCGGUACCUAGUGAAGGAGGGAGGGGAUGACAGAGGAGGGAUUUCAGCCUGGAUGUGAAUGGGGAAUGGUUUCCUGGCUCUUGUUUGGCACAAAAGUACUGAGCUUUUGACAGCUUUUUGAGCCUCUGGGACCAAAUGCAGACCAACCAGACAUUCUCUGAACAAGGAAUGGGCAAAAUGAUUUCAGAAAGGAAAGCCUCUCAUGGCCUGACUGACAACAGGCUUAGUUAACAGAUGACUGACUCCUCUUAUCAAAAGAAAACUCAAAGGAGUUCCCCAGUGGUCUAGUGGUUAGGAUUCA